AUCGACUCGCGCACAUCAGCUCAUACUCCAUAUCAAAUAUUUUUUUUCAAAUUGUACUUUCAAAGGAAUGAUUUGCUACGGAGUUGGUAUCAGAAUUCCAGCUUACAAAAGGCCUGAUGUGGAGAGAAGAGCUUGCAAGGAAAAGGCAAGAAAGUG